AGUCGAGCGGUAGCACAGAGAGCUUGCUCUCGGGUGACGAGCGGCGGACGGGUGAGUAAUGUCUGGGAAACUGCCUGAUGGAGGGGGAUAACUACUGGAAACGGUAGCUAAUACCGCAUAACGUCGCAAGACCAAAGUGGGGGACCUUCGGGCCUCAUGCCAUCAGAUGUGCCCAGAUGGGAUUAGCUGGUAGGUGGGGUAACGGCUCACCUAGGCGACGAUCCCUAGCUGGUCUGAGAGGAUGACCAGCCACACUGGAACUGAGACACGGUCCAGACUCCUACGGGAGGCAGCAGUGGGGAAUAUUGCACAAUGGGCGCAAGCCUGAUGCAGCCAUGCCGCGUGUGUGAAGAAGGCCUUCGGGUUGUAAAGCACUUUCAGCGGGGAGGAAGGCGGUGAGGUUAAUAACCUCAUCGAUUGACGUUACCCGCAGAAGAAGCACCGGCUAACUCCGUGCCAGCAGCCGCGGUAAUACGGAGGGUGCAAGCGUUAAUCGGAAUUACUGGGCGUAAAGCGCACGCAGGCGGUCUGUCAAGUCGGAUGUGAAAUCCCGGGGCUCAACCUGGGAACUGCAAUCGAAACUGGCAGGCUAGAGUCUUGUAGAGGGGGGUAGAAUUCCAGGUGUAGCGGUGAAAUGCGUAGAGAUCUGGAGGAAUACCGGUGGCGAAGGCGGCCCCCUGGACAAAGACUGACGCUGAGGUGCGAAAGCGUGGGGAGCAAACAGGAUUAGAUUCCCUGGUAGUCCACGCUGUAAACGAUGUCGAUUUGGAGGUUGUGCCCUUGAGGCGUGGCUUCCGGAGCUAACGCGUUAAAUCGACCGCCUGGGGAGUACGGCCGCAAGGUUAAAACUCAAAUGAAUUGACGGGGGCCCGCACAAGCGGUGGAGCAUGUGGUUUAAUUCGAUGCAACGCGAAGAACCUUACCUGGUCUUGACAUCCACAGAACUUUCCAGAGAUGGAUUGGUGCCUUCGGGAACUGUGAGACAGGUGCUGCAUGGCUGUCGUCAGCUCGUGUUGUGAAAUGUUGGGUUAAGUCCCGCAACGAGCGCAACCCUUAUCCUUUGUUGCCAGCGGUUAGGCCGGGAACUCAAAGGAGACUGCCAGUGAUAAAC
rnacentral:rRNA from 1 species